GCUGGGCGUGGUGGCACGUGCCUGUAGUCCCAGCUACUCGGGAGGCUGAGGUGGGAGGAUCACUGGAGCCCAGGAGUUCUGGGCUGUCGUGCGCUAUGCCGACUGGGUGUCUGCACUAAGUUCGGCAUCAAUAUGGUGACCUCCCGGGAGCGGGGACCACCAGGUUGCCUAAGGAGGGGUGAACCGGCCCAGGUCGGAAACAGAGCAGGUCAAAACUCCCGUGGGAUCGCGCCUGUGAACAGCCACUGCACUCCAGCCUGAGCAACAGAGCGAAACCCUGUCUCUU
rnacentral:SRP_RNA from 1 species